rnacentral:rRNA from 1 species
AGAGUUUGAUUAUGGCUCAGAAUCAACGCUGGCGGCGUGCCUAACACAUGCAAGUCGAACGAGAAAGAGACUUCGGUCUUGAGUAUAGUGGCGUACGGGUGAGUAACACGUGAAUCAUCUACCUUCGAGUGGGGAAUAACUGAGAGAAAUCUUAGCUAAUACCGCAUAAUACCUACGGGUCAAAGCAGAAAUGCGCUUGAAGAGGAGUUCGCGGCAGAUUAGUUAGUUGGCGGGGUAAUGGCCCACCAAGACGAUGAUCUGUAUCCGGCCUGAGAGGGCGCACGGACACACUGGAACUGAAACACGGUCCAGACUCCUACGGGAGGCAGCAGUGGGGAAUUUUGCGCAAUGGGGGAAACCCUGACGCAGCAACGCCGCGUGGAGGAUGAAGUAUCUUGGUACGUAAACUCCUUUCGAUGGGGAAGAUAAUGACGGUACCCAUAGAAGAAGCCCCGGCUAACUUCGUGCCAGCAGCCGCGGUAAUACGAGGGGGGCAAGCGUUGUUCGGAUUUAUUGGGCGUAAAGGGUGCGUAGGCGGUUUGGCAAGUCUUAUGUGAAAUCUAUGGGCUCAACCCAUAGCCUGCAUGAGAAACUACCGGGCUUGAGUGGUGGAGAGGUGAGUGGAAUUUCCGGUGUAGCGGUGAAAUGCGUAGAUAUCGGAAGGAACACCUGUGGCGAAAGCGGCUCACUGGACACUAACUGACGCUGAUGCACGAAAGCUAGGGGAGCAAACAGGAUUAGAUACCCUGGUAGUCCUAGCCCUAAACGAUGAUUGC